CCCGCAACGAGCGCAACCCUUGUCUUUAGUUGCCAUCAUUCAGUUGGGGCACUCUAAAAGAGACUGCCGGUGUCAAACCGGAGGGAAGGUGGGGAUGACGUCAAGUCCUCAUGGCCUUUAUGACCAGGGCUACACACGUACUACAAUGGCCGGUACAAAGGGCAGCCACUUAGCGAUAAGGAGCCAAUCCCGUAAAGCCGGUCUCAGUCCGGAUUGGAGUCUGCAACUCGACUCCAUGAAGUUGGAAUCGCUAGUAAUCGCGGAUCAGCACGCCGCGGUGAAUACGUUCCCGGGCCUU
rnacentral:rRNA from 1 species